UAUUAUUUUCUAUGUGGGGUUUCUAGUUUAGUUUUUCUAUGUUUGGGUGAUUUGUAUGAUUCCCAAUUAGAGGCAGCUGGUAAUUGUUGUCUCUAAUUGGGGAUCAUACUUAAGUAGCUUGUUUUUUUAACUUGUGGGUUAUGGGAUAUUGUUUAUGUGUAGUUGCAUUGUUAGUCACGGUUCAUUUAUUCUUUAUUUGUUUUAUAUUUUUCUAAAGUUUCACUUUCUAAUAAAUUAUGUGGAACGCUACUCACGCUGCGCCUCGGUCCGAUCAUUAUUAUGACGAACGUGACACAAAGUUUUCCACAUCAGCUCUCUGUGUCUUUCUCAUCAACGGAAUCAGGAUAGAGUGGGAGUUCCCACACAUCUCUUCCUCUCGUCUCGUCUCGUCUCCUGUCCUCUCCUUUCCUCGUCUCCUCUCCUCUCACAUCAUUGCAGCUGAAGGCCUGUCUGGGGAUGCAGCUGGGAAGUCACACAUCACAAUGGCACUGGUCUUUUCAAAAGGUGACAUUCACUCAUGGUGAGUAUGUACAGACAGUAUGUCAAUGUGAUUGGAUAUGUAAAUGAUAUGUAAAUACAGAUGGAAGAAGAACAUGUCUAUAGAAGGCUGAGAAUGUUGUAUUACAUGUUACAUUACGUUUUUUAGGGAUUUUUAAAUCCCCCCCCAAAAAACGAAAUACACAAGUCACAAUGUAAACGGUUGGAUAUCCUAACUCUGGCUGGAUUCCAAAAGGAAUUAUAAAUAAAAUAAAAUCACAUUUUAUUGGUCACAUAUUUGUAAUUGCGGGUGUAGUGAAAUGCUUGUGUUCCUAGCUCUAACAGUGCAGUAGUAUCUAACAAAUAUACACAUCACUUUUCAGGUAAAUUGCCCAGGUUUUUCCAGGAAGGGGAUGUCCACACUGGUGAUGUUGACAGAGGGCUGAGAACGUUCUAUUACAUGUUACAUUAUAUUUUACACACAAUGUCAUGAUCUUUGUCAAUAAGAUUUGACUGUGCACUUCUUUGCUGAGUUCCUCUCGUCUCUAUCUCUGUCACGCUGGCUGCCUCCUGCUGCAAGGUGGUCAACUGUUGCUCCCCGGCUGCCACAAAUGUCAGUGUCAACAUAGAAAUAUAACAUAAAGAAUAGACAUUAGCCUUGCUGGAAAAGCUAAGUUUGGUUGGAUUUUAAAAAACAGGCUUGACCAGGUCCCGGUUUCAGCUUUGUCUGGUGUGGUGUGUCUAGAUACAGUAAGUUGA
rnacentral:lncRNA from 8 species